UGUGUUAGUGGAAGCGUCUGGAAAGGCGCGCGAUACAGGGUGACAGCCCCGUACACAAAAAUGCACAUAUUGUGAGCUCGAUGAGUAGGGCGGGACACGUGGUAUCCUGUCUGAAUAUGGGGGGACCAUCCUCCAAGGCUAAAUACUCCUGACUGACCGAUAGUGAACCAGUACCGUGAGGGAAAGGCGAAAAGAACCCCGGCGAGGGGAGUGAAAAAGAACCUGAAACCGUGUACGUACAAGCAGUGGGAGCCUCUUUAUGGGGUGACUGCGUACCUUUUGUAUAAUGGGUCAGCGACUUAUAUUCUGUAGCAAGGUUAACCGAAUAGGGGAGCCGAAGGGAAACCGAGUCUUAACUGGGCGUUAAGUUGCAGGGUAUAGACCCGAAACCCGGUGAUCUAGCCAUGGGCAGGUUGAAGGUUGGGUAACACUAACUGGAGGACCGAACCGACUAAUGUUGAAAAAUUAGCGGAUGACUUGUGGCUGGGGGUGAAAGGCCAAUCAAACCGGGAGAUAGCUGGUUCUCCCCGAAAGCUAUUUAGGUAGCGCCUCGUGAAUUCAUCUCCGGGGGUAGAGCACUGUUUCGGCAAGGGGGUCAUCCCGACUUACCAACCCGAUGCAAACUGCGAAUACCGGAGAAUGUUAUCACGGGAGACACACGGCGGGUGCUAACGUCCGUCGUGAAGAGGGAAACAACCCAGACCGCCAGCUAAGGUCCCAAAGUCAUGGUUAAGUGGGAAACGAUGUGGGAAGGCCCAGACAGCCAGGAUGUUGGCUUAGAAGCAGCCAUCAUUUAAAGAAAGCGUAAUAGCUCACUGGUCGAGUCGGCCUGCGCGGAAGAUGUAACGGGGCUAAACCAUGCACCGAAGCUGCGGCAGCGACACUAUGUGUUGUUGGGUAGGGGAGCGUUCUGUAAGCCUGUGAAGGUGGCCUGUGAGGGUUGCUGGAGGUAUCAGAAGUGCGAAUGCUGACAUAAGUAACGAUAAAGCGGGUGAAAAGCCCGCUCGCCGGAAGACCAAGGGUUCCUGUCCAACGUUAAUCGGGGCAGGGUGAGUCGACCCCUAAGGCGAGGCCGAAAGGCGUAGUCGAUGGGAAACAGGUUAAUAUUCCUGUACUUGGUGUUACUGCGAAGGGGGGACGGAGAAGGCUAUGUUGGCCGGGCGACGGUUGUCCCGGUUUAAGCGUGUAGGCUGGUUUUCCAGGCAAAUCCGGAAAACCAAGGCUGAGGCGUGAUGACGAGGCACUACGGUGCUGAAGCGACAAAUGCCCUGCUUCCAGGAAAAGCCUCUAAGCAUCAGGUAACAUCAAAUCGUACCCCAAACCGACACAGGUGGUCAGGUAGAGAAUACCAAGGCGCUUGAGAGAACUCGGGUGAAGGAACUAGGCAAAAUGGUGCCGUAACUUCGGGAGAAGGCACGCUGAUAUGUAGGUGAAGCGACUUGCUCGUGGAGCUGAAAUCAGUCGAAGAUACCAGCUGGCUGCAACUGUUUAUUAAAAACACAGCACUGUGCAAACACGAAAGUGGACGUAUACGGUGUGACGCCUGCCCGGUGCCGGAAGGUUAAUUGAUGGGGUUAGCGGUAACGCGAAGCUCUUGAUCGAAGCCCCGGUAAACGGCGGCCGUAACUAUAACGGUCCUAAGGUAGCGAAAUUCCUUGUCGGGUAAGUUCCGACCUGCACGAAUGGCGUAAUGAUGGCCAGGCUGUCUCCACCCGAGACUCAGUGAAAUUGAACUCGCUGUGAAGAUGCAGUGUACCCGCGGCAAGACGGAAAGACCCCGUGAACCUUUACUAUAGCUUGACACUGAACAUUGAGCCUUGAUGUGUAGGAUAGGUGGGAGGCUUUGAAGUGUGGACGCCAGUCUGCAUGGAGCCGACCUUGAAAUACCACCCUUUAAUGUUUGAUGUUCUAACGUUGGCCCGUAAUCCGGGUUGCGGACAGUGUCUGGUGGGUAGUUUGACUGGGGCGGUCUCCUCCUAAAGAGUAACGGAGGAGCACGAAGGUUGGCUAAUCCUGGUCGGACAUCAGGAGGUUAGUGCAAUGGCAUAAGCCAGCUUGACUGCGAGCGUGACGGCGCGAGCAGGUGCGAAAGCAGGUCAUAGUGAUCCGGUGGUUCUGAAUGGAAGGGCCAUCGCUCAACGGAUAAAAGGUACUCCGGGGAUAACAGGCUGAUACCGCCCAAGAGUUCAUAUCGACGGCGGUGUUUGGCACCUCGAUGUCGGCUCAUCACAUCCUGGGGCUGAAGUAGGUCCCAAGGGUAUGGCUGUUCGCCAUUUAAAGUGGUACGCGAGCUGGGUUUAGAACGUCGUGAGACAGUUCGGUCCCUAUCUGCCGUGGGCGCUGGAGAACUGAGGGGGGCUGCUCCUAGUACGAGAGGACCGGAGUGGACGCAUCACUGGUGUUCGGGUUGUCAUGCCAAUGGCACUGCCCGGUAGCUAAAUGCGGAAGAGAUAAGUGCUGAAAGCAUCUAAGCACGAAACUUGC
rnacentral:rRNA from 1 species